rnacentral:lncRNA from 1 species
GGAAGUCAAAUUAUUCUAAAUGGUCACAUCUUAGACCUCCCAGGAUCACCUGACACAUGAACCAUCUCAUCCAUCUUCUAACUGAUACUCUGACCCAUCAGUGAUGGUCAAUGACUAGAUUAAUCUUAUUUAAACUUUUAUUCAUCAUACUUUUACACUUUUUAUCUCUCUUUUUGCUUGACUGCACUGGGACUUCUUUGUGGCACAUGUUUGUUUUUUUUUUUUUGCUGCACGAACGGUGAGCUGGGGUUUCUCUCUAGUUGCUGCGCUCAGGCUUCUCAUUGCAGUGACUUCUCUUGUUGCAGAGCACAGACUCUAGGGCUCACAGGCUUCAGUCGUUGCAGCACACAGGCUCAGCAGCAUGUGAGAUCUUAGCUCUGGGGCCAGGGAUUGAACCCUUUGGCAGGUGGAUUCUUAACUGCUGGCCCACCAAGGACAUCCCUAUUCAUCAUAUUUUUGCUGGUCCUUCUGUGCCAUGGAGCACUCAACGACUCUCCAUCUCUACAAUUAAGGGUGGAGAUCCUAAAGUUCUUACUUGACCUAAAGACCCUAGAAGAAGAAGCUGUUUUCAGGAAGGAGCAAUGGAAGUCUCAGUCCACGCCAAGACUCUGGAAAGCAAGGCUUGAUUUAGGCAGUUCCUUUGAUUAUAAAUAUAAGGGAUAGGAGAAUAAAAGUGGCAGGCUGGCUGGUUAACA